GAUGAACGCUAGCGGCAGGCUUAAUACAUGCAAGUCGUGGGGCAGCAGGACUGUAGCAGUACAGUUGCUGGCGACCGGCAAACGUGUGCGGAACACGUACGCAACUUACCCUGAACUGGGGGAUAGCACGGGGAAACCCGGAUUAAUACCCCGCAAUAUAAUGGAGUGGCAUCACUUUAUUAUUAAAGCUCCGGCGGUUCGGGAUGGGCGUGCGGCUGAUUUGGUAGUUGGUUGAGGUAACGGCUCACCAAGCCUACGAUCAGUAACGGGUGUGAGAGCACGAGCAGUCACACGGGCACUGGGACAAGGGCCCGACUCCUACGGGAGGCAGCAGUAAGGAAUAUUGGGCAAUGGAGGCAACUCUGACCCAGCCAUGCCGCGUGGAGGAUGAAGGCCCUCUGGAUGGUAAACUUCUUUUAUAGGGGACGAAACCUGUGUAUUCUUACGCAGUUGACGGUACCCUAGGAAUAAGCACCGGCUAACUCCGUG
rnacentral:rRNA from 1 species